GACGAACGCUGGCGGCGUGCUUAACACAUGCAAGUCGAACGGAAAGGCCUGCUUUCCCUUGUGGAUUGCGGGUACUCGAGUGGCGAACGGGUGAGUAACACGUGAGUGAUCUGCCCCCAACCUGGGUAUAAGCCUGGGAAACUGGGUCUAAUUCCCGAUAGGACCGCAGGGUGGUGCCUGUGGUGGAAAACGAUUCUCUAGGGGUUGGGGAUGAGCUCGCGGCCGAUCAGCUUGAUGGUGGGGUAAUGGCCUACCAGGGCGGCGUCGGGUAGCCGGCCUGGGAGGGUGGACGGCCCCAUGGGGCCGGGGAUACGGCCCAGACUCCUACGGGAGGCAGCAGUGGGGAAUAUUGCACACUGGGCGGAAGCCUGAUGCAGCGACGCCGCGUGGGGGAUGACGGCCUUCGGGUUGUAAACUCCUUUCGACCGCGAGGAAGCCACCUGGUUGGAAGGGUGGUGACGGUAGUGGUAGAAGAAGCACCGGCUAACUACGUG
rnacentral:rRNA from 1 species